UCACGUUUCUGAAAUACAUAAGCAUAAAUACUUGAUUAGAGUUUAGUAUUGAUCGUCAUAUUGCUGGGAAUUGCGUUGGAACGGCGCCAUUUUGUUCCAUAACUGCGCAGUUGCGCGGCCCCAAUGGCGUCGGGUAUAUAAAGCUGCAAUGACGUCAGCCCCGCACAUCAUUGAUUUCUCAACGCGGUUCGGUGUGGACGUCGAGUUGUGAAGUGCUUGGGAGUUCUACAAAUAUCUUUAGUGCCUGGUCUGAUUCAGUCCCAUUGCGUUUCGCGUGGGUCUGCAUCAGACGGCCGCCAUCUUGGCUGCCACUGGGGCGUGGUCGCUGCUAGCUACGAUAUGGGUUUGUAACGGUAUCAUGCAUUUAUUUAGUUAAUUUAUAUUUAUUUAAAUUGUUAUUUAAUAUUUCAGUUUUCUAUUUAAUAAUAGUGGAUUGGAAUUUCAAGUUUUAUUCAUAUUGAAUAAUAAAUUGUAACAUAUGUUUUAAGUAUGGCAAAUAAAAAUAAUUUGAAAAGAAUUGGACUGUUGAAUUUUAUUUCAAAUCUUUCUCUUUUGUAUAUUUGUCCGUAUUUCACCCGACAUGUAUUAUUCCAUGAGUCAUCACCGACUUAAUGAAGAUCGACGUAGCAGUUGCGAUGCUGCCGAGUUCCCGUGAAUGCUGCCUUCGGUUACUUCAGUUGCUGUCUCGGAAAGCUGCUAAGUUCGCUUCGGCACGGCAUGCGGCCCUACACCGAAAUAGCGACGCGCGAAACACGCUUCCAUUCCGGUAUCAGCCCACAUUAGGUAAAAGUUAGGCAAUUGCGUCAUGAUUUCAUCAGUGUUAAUCGAAACCGUAGACUCGCAAGCGGGUCUUUUCGUAUGUGUGUUCUUUUCGAGUCUCAGAUCUUGAACAACUGGCGGGUCGAGUUGCCAACUACCCUAAACUACCACGCGGGACGCAGUCUAUGGAGCCUGUCUACCGCGCAAAAGCGCUGCCUUAACGCGUACUUCGCUCACAUUUGAUACUGGCCAAACGAGUUAGAUCAUUUUGGUGAGUCAACUGUUAUAAAGAAAGUCUUGACUGCCCUACCUUUUUUAUUUUGCUGUCUAUAAUAUUUACAUACUCAAUGUGAAAUAAAGGGCAAUGUUGUGCAAUAACAUUGAAUCCAAACAGGCUAGCUACUGUAAGACUUCCAACAUUGACUUAUGAAGGCCUGACGUGAGCAGUCCGAGAGUAAACGAGUUCAUGAGAAGUGUAGGUGCUCGCCAUAUGUUGUGAACUACAUCUAUUACAAUACUUCAACGUUAUGCUCCAAAUUUAAGUCGACGCAAUCUCAAACAAAAGUUACAGAAGUAAGAAGUUUCUGGAAAUAUAUACUUACAAUUAGUAGGUCACUUACGACACUGAAAAUAUAUAACUAUUUCAACGUGUGGGCUGAUUAUCUCCGGGAGUAUAAAAUACAAUAUUAACUGAAUCACAAUAUGUAAACAAAUAAAUUAAACUAUGUUUCAUCAUUUUAAACUGAUCGAACCAUCUAAACGUGGAUAUUAUAUUGUAUUGCGAUGGUCCGGUUGUCGUGACGGUGACGUCAAGCCUAAAUAACUUAUCAAGGGGAACCUUCCAAAAGGCUACCACUCAGAUUUUUGUUAACAACAAGUCGUCACCAACGAUCACGGACAAAACGAUUAUUUUUUUCGAAUAUAAUUAAACCUGAAUAGGGACUCAUACAAGAACGAAAGUAUAGCAGUCAGCGGACGAAAUUUAUUACUUGAAAGCGACUAACCGGUCCUGACUGACGCAAGAUUUAGGUAAGUGGUCAUUCCCACAAUGGGCGUGCUGAUUUUGAUCACUUCAAAUACUACUGAACUGGUUGAAUGGACAACAACGUUGAACGCAUACAUAAUAUUUCGUUAGUACAUAACAAGGUUAAACUGAUAAAUAUGCCGUCGGGCAAAAAUUAAAUAUUUCUGAUUUAUAUAAUUAUUUAAUAAUAACUUUUUCAUCCUAAAAUAUAUCUUUAAAAUAAAAUAAAGAAAGGUUUAUGACGUAGGGAAAUGCGUAGAUGUAAUCUAUGAUAUAUAAAAUGCAUAAAUAUUGUGGCGAGUCCUAUCGCUGUUUGUGUGUGCCUUUUAAAAUUAUCUUCAGGACUAUCGGAAACAGCCGAUCUGAAUGGUGGCGUUCUAUAAGUCAACUGAGCAAUUAUGUACACGACACGCGAUUGGCGGAACAGCUGCUCCGCCAUCCAAACUAUUUACAUGAAGCAGACUUGGAAGCUGGUAACAUUAAACAUCUCAACCCAUAUUUUUUGAUUCGCCGCCGGCGAUGUUAAUGUGCCUUCCAAGUCCAGGUUAAACUGCCUCACCAUGUAGUAACACUAAUACUGCACCAAAUCUUACGCGAUGAACAUACUACCUUCACGGGCCCUGAGGGAAACACCGAAAUAAAAGGUACUUAGGUUUUUGUAAUAUGUAGAGGCUUAGCAAAAAGACUAGCUCCAAAGCCGUUCGAUAGCUGUUCUUUUUAGGAUGGAAAAUAUAUCUGGAAAGAUCUUAGGAUGGAAAGGACAUCUAAGUAAAUUACAUAUAAUGAUGAAAUAUUACACGUCAUGAGAACAUUAUCCUUAAUGUAUAUUACGUUAAUAAUUGAUAAGACAAUACUGGAAAUAUGAAAAAUCAUUCAAAUUUUAUAUAUAAUAUUAGCUGUGAAUACUCUUCCAAACUACGCUAGACCUAAAAACAUUAGUUUAAUUAAAUAUGACUGAAAUGACCUGAGAGAACAUAAUAUAAUGACUCCUAAACGUGGACAAAUAAAUAUAACGCUAUCUUCUGGAAGUGCCAGCUAGACUUACGAGUUCAAAAUCUUUACCGAAACCAGGCACCUUCAGGAGAAACUAUUGCUACUAUUACAUCCUAAUACUACGUACAAGUUCCGUAACCAAUAUGUUAACAAACGAGUUAAUAUAAUAAUAUACAUUAAGAAUUAUAUUGAGAACGAAAAUCUAAUUUAAAAUAUAUACGCAAAUAUUCUUUCGGCGAGCUGUUCCUGAGUACGCGCCGAGCAGCAGCAAAAUUUUAAUAAUGCUGCAGGUAAGUGGUUAAACUAAGAACAAAUGAUCAAAACAAAAUACUAUAAGUAUGUGAUAAUUACAAUUUGAAAUGAUAGUCUAUUAUUGAAAACCAUAUAAUAGAAGAAAAUUAUAUAUAAAAUAACAUAUAGCUGCUUAAUGCCGUUUAGGCAUGUAGGUCAUAUAUUAUUUUUCAGAAUUUUCAGAAAGUAUCUACCUACUACAUAUAACUUAGUCGAGGCAAAAUUCUAAAAUCAUAUUCGUCGUGAAUUUAAUCAUUAGGUAUUACAAAACAAAAUAUCCCAGGAACAUACGGUCGUUACUAUGAAAAUGGUCUACUUAAAACAAUAACUAUUUCUUGCAUUAAAAUAUUUAUGAACGAAGGAAAAACAAAGGAUACCUGAAUUUAAGGUAUAUAGUAGAGAAAUUUCGAUUUUUACGAACAUAAUGCAUGGUUCUUUAUUAAAUUGAAUAAAAUCUAGUUAGUUAAACUAUUUUGAUACGUUACAGUAGAGAUUGACUAGUAUUUACGCAGAUUAUUUUUUCAAGUUAUUAUCCUCAUUAGAUUCACAUAUCCAUAAUCCCUGUACGUUUUCCUUCUUUUAAGUUUGUUUAGCUAGAUGACUGCUGGUGUGAAGACUAUACCUAGCUACGAUAUCUAUUUUUGUGACUAAAAUGAAUAUCAUGCAUGCUGGUACUUAAUGAUUACAUCCAGGUUACUGCCAAAAGUCAUAGCGAAUAUAGAAAUGUAUAUACCUAAUAUGCAUAUGUUAGUUCUAUAAUACCUGCACCUUACUUAAAGAGCAUGCAUUUAACAGGUUUAAAUAUAAUAUUCAAUGAGGUAUGUAGCAGAUGAAAUUAAUUAUUAGCUUUUCGUGUAUACCUAAUUUCUUAUACAGUAUUUGUCACUCUAUUGGUGGCAAAUAAACUUUACUUGCUAACUGGAUUUGUCGAAUGAAGUAUACGUAUUUUCGUUUUCAAAUAAUGAGCUUUCAGCGAACUAAAUUGUAUUAAGGAUCUGCAUAUGAUGUGAUUGCGCGAAACAGUCGAAUUGUGUAGGUAUAUUUAAAAUGCAUGGCACAUUUAUAGUGAUGACCGUUCUUUAAGCAUUAUAAUCAAAGCCUGUAAAAAUGCUAUAUUGUAAUAUCAGCCAUAUGUGUCCAAUGUAACGCUUUGACUGUAAAUACAUAUUUAUUAUGUAACUUUGACGGUGAGAUGCAUUCUUGUUGAUUUCUGAUUCAUGCUUGCUCGUGAGUGAAUGCAUAACAUAAUGAAACGCACGCCUGAACUGUAAAAACUCUUCAUAAUUCACAACGAAAAUGAAUUGUGGUCGAAUGAAAUGAAUAUAAUGAUCUCAACAAGUAACAUUUAAAUUGUAAGAAAAAAGGAUAAUUAUACAAUUUUGAACAACGAAAAACAAGUAAGUGAUGCAAAACGUGUAUUUCUUAUAAUAUUAAACGAUAAGGCGCUAACUCAUAGCGCUCUAGUAGAUUGUGGUGGCAAGUCUAAUACCGCUUGAGCAUUGCGUUUGCAUUACUUGCACUCUUUGGUGGACAUGUCUAAGUGUUGCAGAUCUUCGCAGCUAGCCUACUUACGGCCCUACCUAGGGAUGGUGUUCGUGGUCGUGCACAUCCCACGUUAAGACACAUACUGCUAUCGAUUUAUUGCUUACGUUGGAUUACUUCCUGCAGAAGAGUCGUUUAUACUAAUUUAAAUAUACUAUAUAUAUCACCAACGAUGCUUUGUGUAUAGCUUUUCGGAAGGCCUAAGAAUAUUGGACAACGUAUGAAUCCAUCUUCUUAAUGGCACGUGUGACUAGCCUUUUCUGUCUACAGACUAUCUACACAGUAAGUGACACGUACCGAGAUAAGUCAUCGCGCUGCGAUCACCAUGAACCACUUAUGAUGAUUAAAAUUAAUUAUAAGUAGGAAUCAUACUGCUGCAGUAGCGGCGCGUUUAUUUUCUUCACCUGUCUGCACAGACACUGUUACAUUUCACGCAUGCCACGUUCUUAUACCGGUGGAUGAUGCCACCGGCUUGUAGCCAGCCAAACAAUUAUUUAUGGAUAAUUUAGAUGCUGGCACUUUGCGCUUCGGGGGAGCUGCGGUUUAAAAUCACCACACGACCUUUUUCUGUCAUUGGAGGUGCCACGAACCAUCAAGAUAUCCAUCGCAUUAAUUAAGUAUGAUAAAACAUGGCAGAGCUCCUAGCUUCAGUCAAAUAUUUCUAAAUCAACAGAUGCUGCAGUGUAUCUUAGUUCGGCGAGCUUGACUUUCUGCUUAUCAGCCACAGGUAUCGCAACUGAGUGUAUCUAGCACCUUUACCAUAAUGCAGCACAUAGCUCCAGUAACUUCUACGAUUGUGGAGGCCGGUCCAUCCAUCUGCCAGCGUUGCAUUAUUGCCGCAGGACGUUUAUCUACGGUCAGCAGGCUAUCCAGCCUGCCGAACAUGGUUCUACGGGUGCGAAAAAUCAACAUAUACUACUGAUGCCGUAGCCUAUCUGCCGUCUUCGGUCAGCAGGCAUUAUUGCCUGUUUGCUAGUCUGCGCACUACGUGUCCUGAGCAUCUCUGAUCAGCAGUAUGUCCAGCCUACCGGAUGUGGUGCUUCAGGUGCGACCAUCAGACUGCGCUCCACUUGUGCCGCAGACCAACCAUAUUCAGUCAGCAGGACCUCAAGCAUGGCAGACCCGAAGCACCAUCUUCGGGUGCAACUCAUCAGCCAGCCCUCUACUGGUGCCGCAGGCUUUCCAUCUUCAGUCAGAAGGCAGUCCAACCUGCCAGACAUGAAGCAUCGGAUUCAUCGCUGACGAACUUCGGUCAGCAGGCUCUCUAGCCUGCAUGACGUGGUGCUUCGGGUUCUGGCCGCCAGUCUGCGUACCACACUGGUACUGCGGAUCGUCUAUCUUCGGUCUGCAGGCUCUCUAGCCUGCAUGACGUGGUGUUCUGCGUUCUGGUCGCCAGUCUGCGUACCACAACGGUACUGCGGAUCGUCUAUCUUCGGUCUGCAGGCUCCCUAACCUGCAUGACGUGGUGCUUCCGAGUUCUGGCCGCCAAUCUGCGCACCGCUGGUGCUGCGGACUGAUCACCCGUCAGCAGAUUCUCCAACUAACCGGACGCUGUGCUUCGGGCUCUGGCCACCAGUCUGCGUACCACACUGGUACUGCGGAUCGACUAUCUUCGGUCUGCAGGCUCCCUAGCCUGCAUGACGUGGUGCUUCGGGUUCUGGUCGCCAAUCUGCGCACUUCUGGUGCUGCGCACUGAUCACCCGUCAGCAGAAUCUCUAACUAACCGGACGCUGUACUUCGGGUUCUGGUCGCCAGUCUGCGUACCACACUGGUACUGCGGAUCGACUAUCUUCGGUCUGCAGGCUCCCUAGCCUGCAUGACGUGGUGCUUCGGGUUCCGGCCGCCAGUCUGCGCGCCGCUGGUGCUGCGGGCUGAUCACCCGCCAGCAGAUUCUCCAACUAACCGGACGCUGUACUUCGGGUUCUGGUCGCCAGUCUGCGUACCACACUGGUACUGCGGAUCGACUAUCUUCGGUCUGCAGGCUCCCUAGCCUGCAUGACGUGGUGCUUCGGAUUCCGGUCGCCAUUCUGCGCACCGCUGGUGCUGCGGACUGAUCACACGUCAGCAAAUUCUCCAACUAACCGGACGCUGUGCUUCGGGCUCUGGCCACCAGUCCGCGUACCACUGGUACUGCGCAUCUACUAUCUUCGGUCAGCAGGCUCUCUAGCCUGCAUGAGGUGGUGCUUCGGGUUCCGGCCGCCAGUCUGCGCGCCGCUGGUGCUGCGGGCUGAUCACCCGCCAGCAGAUUCUCCAACUAACCGGACGCUGUGCUUCGGGCUCUGGCCACCAGUCUGCGUACCACACUGGUACUGCGGAUCGACUAUCUUCGGUCAGCAGGCUCCCUAGCCUGCAUGACGUGGUGCUUCGGGCUCUGGUCGCCAAUCUGCGCACCUCUGGUGCUGCGCACUGAUCACCCGUCAGCAGAAUCUCCAACUAACCGGACGCUGUACUUCGGGUUCUGGUCGCCAGUCUGCGUACCACACUGGUACUGCGGAUCGACUAUCUUCGGUCUGCAGGCUCCCUAGCCUGCAUGACGUGGUGCUUCGGGUUCCGGCCGCCAGUCUGCGCGCCGCUGGUGCUGCGGGCUGAUCACCCGCCAGCAGAUUCUCCAACUAACCGGACGCUGUGCUUCGGGCUCUGGCCACCAGUCCGCGUACCACUGGUACUGCGGAUCUACUAUCUUCGGUCAGCAGGCUCUCUAGCCUGCAUGAGGUGGUGCUUCGGGUUCCGGCCGCCAGUCUGCGCGCCGCUGGUGCUGCGGGCUGAUCACCCGCCAGCAGAUUCUCCAACUAACCGGACGCUGUGCUUCGGGCUCUGGCCACCAGUCUGCGUACCACACUGGUACUGCGGAUCGACUAUCUUCGGUCAGCAGGCUCCCUAGCCUGCAUGACGUGGUGCUUCGGGCUCUGGCCACCAGUCCGCGUACCACUGGUACUGCGGAUCUACUAUCUUCGGUCAGCAAGCUCUCUAGCCUGCAUGACGUGGUGCUUCGGAUUCCGGCCGCCAGUCUGCGCGCCGCUGAUGCUGCGGGCUGAUCACCCGCCAGCAGAUUCUCCAACUAACCGGACGCUGUACUUCGGGUUCUGGUCGCCAGUCUGCGUACCACACUGGUACUGCGGAUCGACUAUCUUCGGUCUGCAGGCUCCCUAGCUUGCAUGACGUGGUGCUUCGGGCUCUGGUCGCCAAUCUGCGCAUCUCUGGUGCUGCGCACUGAUCACCCGUCAGCAGAAUCUCCAACUAACCGGACGCUGUACUUCGGGUUCUGGUCGCCAGUCUGCGUACCACACUGGUACUGCGGAUCGACUAUCUUCGGUCUGCAGGCUCCCUAGCCUGCAUGAGGUGGUGCUUCGGGCUCUGGCCACCAGUCCGCGUACCACUGGUACUGCGGAUCUACUAUCUUCGGUCAGCAGGCUCUCUAGCCUGCAUGACGUGGUGCUUCGGGUUCCGGCCGCCAGUCUGCGCGCCACUGGUGCUGCGGGCUGAUCACCCGCCAGCAGAUUCUCCAACUAACCGAACGCUGUACUUCGGGUUCUGGCCGCCAAUCUGCGCACCACUGGUGCUGCGGACUGAUCACCCGUCAUCAGAUUCUCCAAUUAAC